rnacentral:rRNA from 1 species
GACGAACGCUGGCGGCGUGCUUAACACAUGCAAGUCGAACGGAAAGGCCCUGCUUUUGUGGUGUGCUCGAGUGGCGAACGAGUGAGUAACACGUGAGUAACCUGCCCUCGACUUUGUGAUAACUUCAGGAAACUGAGUCUAAUAACGGCUAGAUGCUCCUGCUCCAUGGUGUGGGUUGGAUAGUUUCGGCGGUUGGGGAUGGACUCGCGGCUUAUCAGCUUGUUGGUGUGGUGGUGGCUUACCAAGGCUUUGACGGGUAGCCGGCCUGAGAGGGUGACCGGCCACGUUGGGACUGAGAUACGGGGCAGAAGUCGAGGGGAGUGAGCAGUGGGGAAUAGUGCACAAGGGGCGGAAGCCUGAUGCAGCAACGCCGCGUGGGGGAUAACGGCCUUCGGGUUGUAAACCGCGUUCGCCUGUGACGAAGCGGGAGUGACGGUAAUGGGUAAAGAAGCACCGGCUAACUACGUG